UUAAAAAUGUAGUAAAAAUCUGAAAAGAAAAGCAUAAUACAAUAUGUAAUUCCUAACUUAGAUGUGUCUGCAGACUUGGAGCUUGACUACCCUACGUUUCUCCUACAUGACCCGUUGAGCAUUUUUAUUUUUAUUAAAUUUUAAUUUUUGCAGUGGAGCUCAGUCUGUUACAUAUCCUGCACUGGAAUUCCAUGUUUUUUUCUAGAGAUCAUUUUACAUAUAGAAGACGUAUACAGCGUUGUGACAAAAAAUAACUGUAAAUGUGAAAUCUGACAACUGCUUGAGCAGCCAGAUUAUCUGAAUUAACCCUGUCAUUUGAGGGGUAAUAGAUGGCACCUAAUGCAGGUAGAAAAAGCUCAUUAAUAACAGGAUUGUCCAUGUACAGAUUUUUUCUUAAAUUGUUUUAAAUUUAAUAUAUUUUAUCAUUUUUUACUGUGAUCAAAACUUAAAUGCUUAACCUUUUUGGGUUUAUAAAUUAAAAAAGCAUGCAGAUGAAUUUCACUUCAAAGCUGCAAUUUGCUGCCAUUCUGCAGACGUAUUCAUGCCAGUGAUUAGUUGCUAUGCUCAUAUGCUACUUCUAAAUGGCUUAUGGCUGUGUUUAGAUCAGGACAUUAGAUCAGGAAAAGAAAAAAGCAGAUCACACAGUUCUGAGACACAAUAGACUUUUUACAGUUGAUAGAUGCAUUUGAAUCCCCCUUAAGUUCCUGUCAUUCCAUAUCAAAAAGUGAUCUGAAAAUAUAUCUCUGGGGCUGAAUUGUUAUUUAUUAUGAUUAUUUAAAUGAUAUGUAUAUUUAGCAAACUCUGAAAUGUUACAAUAUUAUGUUCUUUUUUGUAGAAGAAUGGUUUGUGCUUUCGUAGUUUUGCUUGUUGCUUUCUAUUUUCACAGAUUACCGGUCUCCUAAAUGGAGUUGGACACAACUGAAUCCUUCUACGGCAAUUUGUAUAACACCAAACAUCAUAACCGUGCACUGCAGACAUCUUAUGCCUCCCUUUGAGUUGAGUCUCCAAAAUCAUUAUACAGGAGAAACAACAGGGCAACCAUUGACCGAAAAAAGAUAAUAAGGACCAGACUUACCAUAAAGAUCAGCAAUGCCAAAAGGGAUCUAAAGAAAAACUGUUUCACAUGAUUUUUAGUUGUUGAAGUUUUAUCUUUUCUAUAUAGUCUUUACAAACAUGACAACGUAUUGAUUUAUUUAUAUUUUGUAAUCCUAAUUAUUCACUUUUAGAGUUAAACAACAGAAUUCCAUGAAGAUACUUUGGGUGCAUAUAUGUGGAAUUGUUAAUGUUGUUAAAAUUGUUUAAAUUUGAUUUAUAAAAAUAAAGUAUAAAAAAUAGCUUGUA